rnacentral:rRNA from 1 species
AGUGAACGCUGGCGGUAGGCCUAACACAUGCAAGUCGAACGGCAGCACAGUAAGAGCUUGCUCUUACGGGUGGCGAGUGGCGGACGGGUGAGGAAUACAUCGGAAUCUACUUUUUUGUGGGGGAUAACGUAGGGAAACUUACGCUAAUACCGCAUACGACCUACGGGUGAAAGCAGGGGAUCUUCGGACCUUGCGCGAUUGAAUGAGCCGAUGUCGGAUUAGCUAGUUGGCGGGGUAAAGGCCCACCAAGGCGACGAUCCGUAGCUGGUCUGAGAGGAUGAUCAGCCACACUGGAUCUGGGACCCGGUCCAGACUCCUACGGGAGGCAGCAGUGGGGAAUAUUGGACAAUGGGCGCAAGCCUGAUCCAGCCAUACCGCGUGGGUGAAGAAGGCCUUCGGGUUGUAAAGCCCUUUUGUUGGGAAAGAAAAGCAGCAGGUUAAUACCCCGCUGUUCUGACGGUACCCAAAGAAUAAGCACCGGCUAACUUCGU